rnacentral:lncRNA from 1 species
CACACCACCACGAACCAUUGCGAAUCGACCGGAAUUCACCAUGAAACACUUUUUGCGCUCAAAUCCAGCGCGUAUAUUGUGAAAUCGCACCAGAAGAAACCAAGGAUAUGUGGAAUCAUGCGACCAACCACAGUGGAUCUCCUUCUUCUUCGGAUGCAUGUUGUCGCACGAUUCUCUUUCUGGUUUCCAAUCACGUAGAUUGUCGGCCGCCUAGACUCCUCAACUUGUCACGAGAAAAGUCGCGCACUAUCACAAGUCGCCUCGCAUAGGUCGGUGGUAGCUGUGAUUCCCUCUCACAAGUCUCCUUCUCUCUCUUUGCACAACUCUCUUUCUCCCUCUAUGAACGGAUCUCUCUCUAUUUCCUCACGCACAGGAUCUCCUUCUCAGAGAACAAGUCUCUCCCUUUUUGUGGGCGGAGAAGGGGAGCCCUGCAUACCUCUUCUUCCUUUUUCUCCACCAUGCAGGUGUGUUCUUCUUCUCCUCCUUCUUCGACUUCAAGAGGCAUGCAUGCCUCUAGUUGUUAUCUCUUUUUUUUUUCCUUUUUAAUCAAAACAGCAUUGUGUUGGGGUUUUCCAAAAUGAUUUCAUUUUGUCCCUUGCUUUCUUAAUGCCCAGUUUUGGAAUGGGUUUCGUUUCUUGGCCCG